rnacentral:snoRNA from 1 species
UUGGCAUGAUGAGGAAAUUAAUACAUUGUGCCUGAUCCGCUGGAUGAGAACUUCCUCCUACUCAUUCUGA